CCCUCACAAAUGAUAGCAGAUCCUCUACCAUUUCAAUGUAGGAACUCCAAAACUGGAAAGGCACUUUGGAGGUCAGCAGCAACUUUUAAAGCAGCUUCACGGCAGUCUUGAGAAAGGGUUUCAAGGUAAUCCCAGAUCCUCAGCCCUGCUGUGAGAUAUCUUCUUGACCUGAUCUGACUAAACCCUGACACAUCUAUUCUGCUGAAACAAUGAAAAUGCUCUUUGUUUUUCACGGUUCAUCAUAAAACCCUUUUAAUGUUUUGCUCAACUGUUUGGUGGCGUGCAUUUUCAGUCGCUAUAUGUUGAAAAAUUUGUCCACUAGAUGUCGCUGUGUCUAUAGUAG